CUCAGGUCAUUUUUAAAACUUUCUCUACAUGCAUUUUCAAAUAUUUGUUCAAAGAGUAAAACCAUAUACAAAUACUAGUAGUCCCAUUAAGGGAAAACAUUUGACCAAUCAGCUCGUGCUCGUGCUCGUGCCACCCGCCGACACCGCCUCGUGGCAACCGCACCGCAGCCAUGGCCACCACCAACCUCCUCACGCCUCCCCACCUCCACCACCCCUCCCCCGCCGCUCGCCUCCGUGUCUCUGCUUCGCUCGCGCACCCGCUCCUCGUCUCCCGCCUCCGCCUUGCCACCGCCUCCCGCUCCCGCCCUUCCCCACGCCGCCGCGCAAUGUCCGCCACGGUCCGCAGCUCCCUCAUCGACCCGGACGGCGGCGCGCUUGUCGACCUCGUCGCCCCUCCCGACCGCCGCGCGGCGCUGCGCGCGGAGGCGGAGGCGCUCCCGCGGGUGCGGCUGUCCCCCAUCGACCUCCAGUGGGCGCACGUGCUCGCUGAGGGAUGGGCGAGCCCGCUCCGCGGGUUCAUGAGGGAGGCAGAGUACCUGCAGAGCCUACACUUCAACUGCAUCCGGCUCCCCGACGGGGGCCUCGUCAACAUGUCGCUCCCCAUCGUGCUCGCCAUCGGGGACGCCGAGAAGGAGCAGAUCGGGGACGGGCCAGACGUCGCGUUAGAAGGGCCGGACGGCGACGUCAUCGCCGUCUUGCGCAGAGUUGAAAUAUACCCUCACAAUAAAGAAGAAAGAAUUGCAAGAACGUGGGGCACAACUGCACCUGGUUUACCCUAUGUCGACGAGGCAAUCGCAUCAGCUGGGAACUGGCUGAUUGGUGGUGAUCUGGAGGUGCUGGAACCCAUCAAAUAUAAUGAUGGUCUUGAUCGCUACAGACUUUCACCUCGGCAACUUCGGAAUGAGUUCGACAAGAGAGGGGCUGAUGCUGUGUUCGCCUUCCAAUUGAGAAAUCCUGUACACAACGGGCAUGCACUGUUGAUGAAUGACACUAGAAGGCGUCUCUUGGAGAUGGGUUACAAGAAUCCCAUUCUACUUCUGCACCCUUUAGGUGGUUUUACGAAAGCUGAUGAUGUACCACUGCCUGUUAGAAUGGAACAACACAGCAAGGUCUUAGAAGAUGGAGUCCUUGAUCCCGAGACUACUAUAGUGUCUAUAUUUCCCUCUCCAAUGCAUUAUGCUGGUCCAACAGAAGUGCAGUGGCAUGCAAAGGCGCGAAUUAAUGCUGGUGCCAAUUUCUACAUAGUAGGCCGUGAUCCUGCUGGGAUGGGCCAUCCAACAGAGAAGAGGGAUCUGUACAACCCGGACCAUGGGAAGAAGGUCCUAAGCAUGGCUCCAGGUUUAGAGAAACUGAACAUAUUGCCCUUUAAGGUAGCAGCGUACGAUACAGUGGCAAAGAAGAUGGCCUUCUUUGAUCCUUCUCGUAGUCAAGAUUUUCUGUUCAUCUCAGGAACCAAGAUGCGUACUUUCGCCAAAAAUGGAGAGAAUCCUCCUGACGGUUUCAUGUGCCCGGGUGGGUGGAAAGUCCUUGUCGACUACUACAAUAGCUUGCAAGCUGAAGAAGCAACUCUGGCUCCUGUAUGAGACAAGCUAUUGUUUGACUAUGAAAUUUUUCAAAGACGAGAAAGGUAGAUUCUUGCCUAAUAAAAAGAAAAAAAGAGAAGAAAAGAAAGACAAUAAAGCUGUCCAUGAACAACUUAUCACAACAAUGGACUCGAAAAGACUGCAGAUAAGCAGGUAAUGGUGGAAGCUAUCGAACGUUUUUGCAGCCAGACAAAUUCAGCUUAUGCAGUGAUGCGAUGCGUACUAGAUUUUCUGGUAAGCUGUCCCAGUUACAGGAGUUACAGGAACUAAACCUGAGGUUUCUCAGUGAGGUUAACUGCGGUAGGAUUUCCUCGUCCCUUUGUUCCUUCGAAUCCUCGAUUCUAAGGAUCAGUCGUGACGAACAAAGCCUCUCUUGACAGAAGUCGUGCCACAAGUGAUAUGUCAUUAAUGGUGAGUGCACCAAUGGCUCGCACUUUGUCAUUGUCUUGAAAGGUUAUAAGCUUGGGGCACCUCUUGAUGACAAGAUGAAAACGUUGCAGGUCAUAAGUUCGUUUAUGCCUAUAAUGGGAAUAAAAUGGGCACAAAUUGUCAAUGGUGAUCUCCCUAAGCCGAAUUGCAUUCUUCAUCACCUAUGAAGGAAUUGUUGUCAAAAAUGGAAUUUUAGAUAACCUCAAUCGAGUUAGGGAUGUAGAAACUUUAAAGACAUUCUUCAAGAUAGUGGAUGUGGUGGUUUAUUCAUAGAUAUCUAGAUGUUCAAAGU